UACGUAGGGGGCAAGCGUUGUCCGGAUUUAUUGGGCGUAAAGAGCGUGUAGGCGGCCAGGGAGGUCCGUUGUGAAAACUCGAGGCUCAACCUCGAGACGCCGAUGGAAACCCCCUGGCUAGAGUCCGGAAGAGGAGAGUGGAAUUCCGUGGUGUAGCGGUGAAAUGCGCAGGAUAUCAGGAAGAACACCCGUGGCUAAGGCGGCUCUCUAGUACGGUACUGACGCUGAGACGCGAAAGCGUGGGGAGCGAACAGGG
rnacentral:rRNA from 1 species